GACGAACGCUGGCGGCGUGCUUAACACAUGCAAGUCGAACGGAAAGGCCUGCUUUCCCCUGUGGAUUGCGGGUACUCGAGUGGCGAACGGGUGGGUAACACGUGAGUGAUCUGCCCCCAACUUGGGUAUAAGCCUGGGAAACUGGGUCUAAUUUCCGAUAGGACUGCAGGGUGGUGCCUGUGGUGGAAAACGAUUUUCUAGUGGUUGGGGAUGAGCUCGCGGCCUAUCAGCUUGUUGGUGGGGUAAUGGCCUACCAAGGCGGCGACGGGUAGCCGGCCUGAGAGGGUGGACGGCCACAUUGGGACUGAGAUACGGCCCAGACUCCUACGGGAGGCAGCAGUGGGGAAUAUUGCACAAUGGGCGGAAGCCUGAUGCAGCGACGCCGCGUGGGGGAUGACGGCCUUCGGGUUGUAAACUCCUUUCGACCGCGAGGAAGCCACCUGGUUGGAAGGGUGGUGACGGUAGUGGUAGAAGAAGCACCGGCUAACUACGUG
rnacentral:rRNA from 1 species